GACAGAGGGUGCAAACGUUGUUCGGAAUUACUGGGCGUAAAGCGUGCGCAGGCGGUUUUGUAAGCCAGAUGUGAAAUCCCCGGGCUCAACCUGGGAAUGGCAUUUGGGACUGCAAGGCUGGAGUACGGCAGAGGAGACUGGAAUUCCUGGUGUAGCAGUGAAAUGCGUAGAUAUGCGGAGGAACACCGAUGGCGAAGGCAAUGCCCUGGGCCUGCACUGACGCUCAUGCACGAAAGCGUGGGGAGCAAACAGG
rnacentral:rRNA from 1 species